GAUGAACGCUGGCGGCGUGCCUAAUACAUGCAAGUCGAGCGAACAGACGAGGAGCUUGCUCCUCUGACGUUAGCGGCGGACGGGUGAGUAACACGUGGAUAACCUACCUAUAAGACUGGGAUAACUUCGGGAAACCGGAGCUAAUACCGGAUAAUAUAUUGAACCGCAUGGUUCAAUAGUGAAAGACGGUUUUGCUGUCACUUAUAGAUGGAUCCGCGCCGCAUUAGCUAGUUGGAAAGGUAACGGCUUACCAAGGCAACGAUGCGUAGCCGACCUGAGAGGGUGAUCGGCCACACUGGAACUGAGACACGGUCCAGACUCCUACGGGAGGCAGCAGUAGGGAAUCUUCCGCAAAGGGCGAAAGCCUGACGGAGCAACGCCGCGUGAGUGAUGAAGGUCUUCGGAUCGUAAAACUCUGUUAUUAGGGAAGAACAAAUGUGUAAGUAACUAUGCACGUCUUGACGGUACCUAAUCAGAAAGCCACGGCUAACUACGUG
rnacentral:rRNA from 1 species